UGGGGAAUAUUGGGCAAUGGGCGAAAGCCUGACCCAGCGACGCCGUGUGGGCGAUGAAGGCCUUCGGGUUGUAAAGCCCUGUCGGAUGGGAAGAAGGGUCCGGAGGUGAAUAAUCUCUGGAUCUUGACGGUACCAUCGGAGGAAGCACCGGCUAACUCCGUGCCAGCAGCCGCGGUAAUACGGAGGGUGCAAGCGUUGUUCGGAAUUACUGGGCGUAAAGGGCGCGUAGGUGGUUUUGUAAGUCAGAUGUGAAAUCCGUCAGCUCAACUGGAGAACGGCAUCUGAUACUGUAGGACUAGAGUGCAGGAGAGGGAAACGGAAUUCCAGGUGUAGAGGUGAAAUUCGUAGAUAUCUGGAGGAACACCGGUGGCGAAGGCGGUUUCCUGGCCUGACACUGACACUGAGGCGCGAAAGCGUGGGGAGCAAACA
rnacentral:rRNA from 1 species